rnacentral:rRNA from 1 species
GAUGAACGCUGGCGGCGUGCCUAACACAUGCAAGUCGAACGGAAAGACGAGAAGCGCGUGCCCCUGACGUUAGCGGGGGACGGGUGAGUAACACGUGGAUAACAUACCUAUUUGACUGGGAUGAUAUCGGGAGACAGGUGACAAUACCAGAUAAUAUAUCGUACCGGAGGAAGCAGUAGUGCAUGAGGGCUUUGGCGACAGAAAUAGAUGGAUUCGCGCCGCCUUAGCUAGUUGGUAAGGUAACGGCCUACCAAGGCAACGAUCCGUAGCUGACCUGAGAGGAUGAUCGGCCACACUGGAACUGAGACACGGUCCAGACUCCUACGGGAGGCAGCAGUGGGGAAUCUUGGACAAUGGGCGCAAGCCUGAUCCAGCAACACCGCGUGAGUGAAGAAGGCCUUCGGGUUGUAAAGCCCUGUUGUUAGGAAAGAAAAAAUGUAGGAUUAACUCUGGCUGUUUUGACGGUACCCAAUCAGAAAGCCCCGGCUAACUACGUG